rnacentral:rRNA from 1 species
UACGGAGGGUGCAAGCGUUGUCCGGAAUCACUGGGCGUAAAGGGCGCGUAGGCGGCUCAUGAAGGCUGUGGUGAAAGUCCGGGGCUCAACCUCGGACCGGCCGUGGCGACUCGUGGGCUGGAGCACUGUAGAGGCGGGUGGAAUUCCGGGUGUAGCGGUGGAAUGCGUAGAGAUCCGGAAGAACACCAGUGGCGAAGGCGGCCCGCUGGGCAGUGGCUGACGCUGAGGCGCGACAGCGUGGGGAGCAAACAGG